rnacentral:rRNA from 1 species
AACGAACGCUGGCGGCAGGCCUAACACAUGCAAGUCGAACGCCGUAGCAAUACGGAGUGGCAGACGGGUGAGUAACACGUGGGAACGUACCCUUCGGUUCGGGAUAACUCAGGGAAACUUGAGCUAAUACCGGAUACGUCCGAGAGGAGAAAGAUUUAUUGCCGAGGGAUCGGCCCGCGUCUGAUUAGCUUGUUGGUGAGGUAACGGCUCACCAAGGCGACGAUCAGUAGCUGGUCGAGAGGAUGAUCAGCCACAUUGGGACUGAGACACGGCCCAAAACUCCUACGGGAGGCAGCAGUGGGGAAUAUUGGAC